ensembl:lncRNA
GUUAGCAACUCCAGAGCAGACAACUAUUAAUAUUCUCCUUCCCAGGGGCUUCAGUAAAAUCCCAGCAUUGGCUCUAUUGGCCUGGUUUGGUUCAUAUGUGACUUCCUGAACCAAUUAGGACGUGUUGGCACUUGAGUGGCCAGGCCUAAAUCACAUGUCUCCCCCUGGAGAUGGGGGCGGAGGUUGUUCAGAUUUCCCAGAGGUACACCCUUCAGGUUCCAUCCUGGAGGACAAUGGCCAGUGUUCUGGGAAUUUCAGCGGAUGAGGAUCCGAGAGGCUGAGUAACUUGCCUGAGGAAAAACAGUCAAAGAGUGGAAGUAUCACUUGGCUGCAUCUGGAUCCAGAGUCCCUGCGCUUUCCACUGCCCUACUUAGAUGGCCCUGGGUCUCCUAUAAUAUCAGCACAGCCUGGUGCCCCCAAGGCUUUGAAAAAGUCCCACAGAUUGGAACCCAGCUCAGCUCCCAGGCACCCCCCAGGUCGGGAGGGAGAAUGCAGCUUUAGAACCUUAGCUGUCACCUCUGCCACCACCUUCUUCCCGGCAGAGGGACUCCCUCCAAGACUGGGUAAGGGUGUGAAAAAGGGGCAGCAGUGGGCAGGAUGGGGGUCAGACGCCGAGAGGGUAGCAAAGAUUGGAGCAUCAGGAAGUGAACAUGCCUGGGACUGUUGGGGAGCAGCGAUCCAGGGAGAGAGCUUGGUGUUUGGGGAUUCGACUGAGGCCUGUGAAGGAGAAGCAGAUGGGGCCUGGGGCUCCCCCAGAGUGUGGCCCUUCCCUGUCCCUUCUGCUCCCUCUCCAUCUUUAAAAAAUUUUAUUU